CCUACGGGGGGCAGCAGUGAGGAAUCUUCCACAAUGGGCGAAAGCCUGAUGGAGCGACACCGCGUGAAGGAUGAAGCCUUUGUUGGUGUAAACUUCUUUUCUCUGGGAAGAUAAUGACGGUACCAGAGGAAUAAGGGGCGGCAAACUUCGUGCCAGCAGCCGCGGUAAUACGAAGGCCCCAAGCGUUAUCCGGAAUUACUGGGCGUAAAGCGUCUGUAGGUGGUUCGGAAAGUCUCAAGUGAAAGGUCAGGGCUCAACCCUGUACUUGCUUGGGAAACUAUCGAACUUGAGUGCGGGAGAGGCAAGCAGAACUGUAUGAGUAGGGGUGCAAUCCGUUGAUACAUACAAGAAUACCAAAAGCGAAGGCAGCUUGCUGGAACGCUACUGACACUGAGAGACGAAAGCGUGGGGAGCAAAAGGGAUUAGAUACCCUAGUAGUC
rnacentral:rRNA from 1 species